CUCGUUCAGUCUUAAAUCGACUGUCGUUGGAGAUAGACGUUGUUGCUCUCGUUUAUUUUUGUUUAUUUUGCUUUUUGCGUUUGGUUGCAAUUUCGAUUUUAACGCGCGCGAAGUACACUUUUGUUUUUUUUUCUACAAUAUAAAACGUUCGUUCGUGGCCAUUGUCGUUCAAUAACGUUUAAAAAUGAUUUGCUUUUUUGUGUUUUUGCAUCCAUUAAAGAUUGAAUUAAAAAAAAUUCAAUUCAAUGAGUGAUUUCGUUCAUCUUUACUAGAAAAUGAAAAAGUAUUAAAUAUUAAAAUUUUACAAAUAUAAUUAUUAAUUAAAAUUAUUAAUACAAAAUACUAAAAGUGCAGUGCAUGUGCAUGUGCAACACCACAAAACGUGCACAUAAAAUUAUUUUAUGUAAAAAAUUAUAAAAAUACAGAAAAAGUAUCUACAAAAAAAAUUCUAAAAAAAUAUUUAUAAAAUAAAAUUGCAUAGAGUUUAUGAUGAUAUUCUACUUAUAAGAAAAAAGUGAGUUGCAAGCUCUCUGGCUUUGGAAUAAAACAAUCAAAGUAUUUUCAUCUAACCGCGGCGAUAUAAUUAAUUUUCGGUAAUAAUGAAGUUAGCACAGCAAUAAGUAUCUGCAAGUUCGUUUACCUGUUACAGUUGAAACAUGCAUUGAUUUUAGUUGUUUUUUAUACAAAUACAAAUUUUGUAUUUCAAAUAAAAAUCAAUAACAAAAAAAAAUUUAUUCAAAAACCAAACUAAAAAUUUUCAUCUUGGCAAAAAUUAGUUUCACCUUAAAGCCGCACUUAAGCACGCCUAUGUGUGUCGCUGCCUCUGUGCCUGAGUGUGCCUGUGCCUAUGUGUGUGUGUGUGUGUGUCUACAUAAUUCAUACAAAUCUGUUAUAACUAAAUAAAAAAAAAUAAAAUAAAAUAAAAGGUAAAUGCACUUCAAGAGCAAUAAACGUUACAUUGCAAACAAAUCACUUCGAGGUCAAUGGUUGGAAUAAUUAUUAUAGCUACGCGCAAGUGACGAGGACCUACAAAAUUUCGCAAUGCUAAAUUUUUUUUUUUUCGAAUUUCAUAACGCGAACUCGCCGAUUCUAAAGGAUUAACUCGAAAAUGUGAAGUGAAAUGCAAACAUUCGAUGCGAAGUUUUAAAAAUUUAGUUAAAUGCGUCCCCGAAUACAGAAAGUGGGAUUCGUCGAUGUCAAUGCCAAGAUUUUGUAUUUAUACCGUAUUCGGUGCAAAAUAAAAACCUUAUAACAAUAACAACAAUAUGACUAAUGAGUGUAUUAAAUGCAGGCACUGGCCAGAAUAAUUAUGACUGAUUAUGCUAAAGUAACGUUCAAACAAAAACUAUUGCAAAAAAUCAAAAAACUCAAAAAGCAACAACAACCAACACAAAUAUCAUAAAAUACUACAAUUUGCAUAAUCUAUUAACAUAUCGUUGUCUAUAUAUAAAAGAUAGUUAAAGUGUAUUUAGAUACAUCAAGUACUCAUAAAAGACUUAUUUUACUGCCUUCAGAUUAUCGCCUCUCAAUGAUUGACAAUACAUAAGCUAAAAGGCCCAUAACACAUUUAUCACGGCGGGUAACAUUUUGGACUUAAGUAUUCUCAAAUUUGACUAAAAAUUAAAAACAAGAAAAUCAAAUUUUCUACUAAAUAAAGAAUUUAUAUUUAAAAAAUCCUUCGUAUAUU